rnacentral:snRNA from 1 species
GUGCUCACUUCAGCAGCCCAUAUACUAAAAUUGGAAUGAGAUAGAGAGUAUUUGUAUGGCCCCUGCACAAGAAUAACACAAAAAUUUGUGAAAUGUCCCAUAAAAAA